GCCUGGCCGCCGAGUGAGCCCGCGGGGCCGGGGCUGGCCGGCUGCGGUAUCCCAGCGGGAGGAAGCUCCAGGCAGCAAACAACAAACGGCACUUUUGAGACUGGCUGCUACGUCUCCUCCCAGGCACUGCUGUGAUGUCCUCCUGCCCUGCUCUGAGCAAUCCCUGUUGGUGCUACUGUAACAGCUGGAGGCCAGCUAGGAACGAACACGGGAAUAUUUUAGGUGAUGAGUGAAGAAACCAGUUGGAGCCCCGUGUUCUCCCUGAGCGUCGGCAGAGGUGUUUCCGCGGGCCGGCUGCGAGUGCGCCUUCAGACACAGCACGGCACUCGCUGCAGCUCCGCUCCGAGGGCCUGGCGCUGCCAAGAGCUGUGAGUUUAAAACUAGCUGAGCCUCCCACACGGCAACAUGAUUUACUAAACCACUAAGAUAUUGGGUCAGCCUUGUAAAUCAUUUUAAUUAUUUCACUAAACAGGUUGUGGAAAUAGAUCAAUAGAAAAUAUGGCAUUUAGGCUUACAAUGCUGUGCAUUCAUUAUGGGAAAGAAAUUAUAUUAAAUGAUUUAGGAGCUAAUAAUAUCUGAAAAUAACAAUUUAAUGGAAGCCUUCCAAUCCUGCACUUUGAAAGCAGGAUACAGCUAUACACAGUCUACCCAUUUUAAUCUCAGUCAAGUAUACACAGCAAUUUUUUGAUUCUCAGAGAAAUGUCAGUCAAGUACAAGUAACUUACAGACUUUCAGCAUCCCAUAAAUUACAUUAUAAUAAAACAAAACCAAAGAAACUGUCAACAAUCAUUUUUACAUACUGGCAGGGUCACACAAACCAGGCACGUAAAAAAUAAGAAAAUACAUUACAAUAUAACAAAGUGGCGGUGUUACACAGCAGGGGCUAUUUUCCACUUGCAAUUGCUAUUUCUGUGAGACUGUGGUUUGCACUGCUGGGCUUGAAGGGCACUUCUCUCUAAAAUGUUGGGGGUUUGUUUCAAACAUCAGAAUACUAAAUGCAUGCUGUAUACAUGAAAUAUAGAUAAAGAGACGGCAAGGGAAAGAAACCAGAAACCAGAAAAACCUAAUCUCUCCUGUGCAGAAAAAGCCAGGUGUCACCGUUCAGUACUUGAGGUCAGCAUUGCUCUGUGACAAUUAUUUUACUGUGGCUAAACUAAAUUUGGUACGCUGUGUCCUGGUUUUCUUAAUGCAUGCAUGAUAGUCACCUGUGCUGUUAAAAUAUUUUCUCCUGAAAUAAGCUGUGCAUUGUGACUAUGUAAUGCCUUAUUGGCCAUCAAGUAACUACGCUGAACCAAGCAGGCACGACUGUGGGCAGAAUUUAAGCUGCAAUCAGAUAGUGCACCUGUGUCGCCUGCUCGUUUCAAAGUCUGCAGCCUACUGAUAGGCAGUUGUCAUAUCAGCUAUCUCCACUCUGGUUUGCAGGCAGAGUUAAGCUUUGCUUUAAGGCCUCUGGCUAGAUAGCAUUUGAAUUAUGCACUUCAUCACACCCCAAUUAGCUGGGGAUGCAUGACGAAAAUCAUUAUCAGUGAGUUUAUUUGGGAAAACACCUUAUUUGCUACUUGGUUCAGCAUAUGAAGGAAAACACCUCCACCCCCCCUCUUUCUCUCCACUGAGAAAAGCUUGUUUUAAAGCAGAGGGAAACUUUGAGCUGUGGCAAAUUGUUCUGCUCCUGCUUAUUCACCUGCCCCCUUGAGCUCCAUCUGGCCGUUUUAGGAACGUUAAGUGUUGCGCAAAUAAAAAUAAAUGGCUUCAGCAUGACCACAGAACUGACUGAGCACAUUCCCUGUGCAGGCUGUGCAGCAUGUCUGUCUCUUACUCCCAAGACCCCGCAGCAGUUCAGAUUUUGACAGGUGCCUGGUGUGUGUUGCUACCUACUGUUUGCUGGCGUUUGAGCUCCCCCAGCCCGGCAGCAGCGAGGCGAGCCUUUCUCCUGUCUCCCCUUACACACUGAAGAACUGCAAGGUGGCCACAUCUACAAACCCACAACAGGAUCAGUGCACUGCCUUCAGCUUCUCUUGUGCACUUCCUUGAGUGCUGUGUUCCCCUCAGGGUAACAGGUACCACUGACGCACGGUUCCAGCUAGAUCAUCGCUCAGCACCGUUAUUCCUUGGCCUGACUCAGAACUAGAUGUGCACACCAUUUCCUUGUCCAAAGAUUUAUCAGCAUUCCCAAGGAAGCGCAGCUCCCAAGCUCCCGCGCUGCCUGGCUCAGUCACGGGCCGCUAAUUUUCCUAUGGAGUAACUGCAACUGUGUGACCAAAACCCAGACCUGCCCCACGCAUGCACACAGCCGUGGGCUCUGCCUCAGGGCAUCUUGCCAGAGAGCGAAGCCCCAGACGCCCAGCAGCCCCCUGCAUCGCAGGAAAUGAAAAAUGACAUGUUCAGACAGUCCUUUGCAUUCUGCCUCACUGUGAAGCUGCUCACUCGCCCAUCUUCCCUUCGGUGGGGCUCUGGCCCUCUGGCCACGCACAGUGAUGUUUUCAGGACUGCACACUUUCUUUUCUUCAGGAGUUUUGCCAGAACAGGAGCAUACCAGGAAAUGACUCAGCUCUGGCCCCCAACAGCCAUCACUCACGUUUCCCAGCUCAGCUGCUCGCUGGCUUUGCGAGGAGGAGCCGCUGACUGUGCUGUCCCCAGCGCCAGGACCAGGCGCCGUCUCCUCGGGUGCCCGGUGACGCACCCACCCCACCACCGGCGCUGGAGAACGUUCUGCCCGGCUCUGCGUGGCACUGCAGGAGACACGCUGCCUUUCCGUGGCUCUGCAGUCCAAGCACUUAUUCCUAAUCAAUUCUGACAGCAGACACCACGAGGAAUGCUGAGAUUUAUGAAAGAGCAAGAUUUGCCACUAGCCUCUGUCUAUUAAGGGUGCAGCAAACCCUCACUUUGCCCUUUGUAAAUACAACCAGCAGAAGCAAGGCACUUGCCCUUUUCAGAAGAGCGAGCACUCUCAAAGGACAGAUGCUUUAGCAAAAGUCUUUAACACGCUUGCAAGCAGUGAGGUUCCAAAUUCUCUAUGUUCUUCCAUCAAAAUGCUUCUCAUUUCUUUAAGUGCUUUUUAAAGACUAAAUACUGUACUGAAAGCUGCUGCCUUCUUUUUAGCCAUGGGGCUAAAGCAUGCAUGGGGCCAAACGUAGGCUGUGUGUUUUGCAAAAAAGCUGACCUGAACGUGGAAACAGAGGCCCCAGAACCUGGAGGACUCAUUCUGCACGAUUCUGAAGGCGACGCAUAGCAAAGAAGGAAGAUGAGUCACUGACAAAUACUCACUGCCCUUGAGAAAAAGCAGCAGUGCUGAGGAGGUCGCCAGAGGACUCACAGUUCAAACCCAGGCUGGUUUCGCCUUUGUGACCGGCCAUUACUCGAAGGAUUAGAGCUUUCAUGACAUUACAGACUCCACACAUACGUCUGCUUGAAUAAUUGUCCUUGAACAAGUUCCCAGACAUGAAUGCCAGUAUUAAUUUAGGUGUAGUCCAACAUCCAAAUUUUUUUUUCCAUCCGUCUUUUCCUUUCAGGUUAUAAGACUCACCCUCCUGUGCACCUAUGGAAGCCGAGGACUGUGUACUUCAGUGUCUUGCGCUUUGAUGCGCUUUACAGGCUUGCAGCAACCAUCUCCCCCAAGUUCUUCCAAAGAGCAGUUCUGCUUUUUCUGGGACGAUUAUGUAUUCUCCAAUCCACAGGAAACUACAGCUGGCAUUAAGAGGAUGAACAUUCUUACAAAGAAAAGAUUUUGCCACCUUCGGAUCCCCGUGGAGAGGACUCUGGCAUGUCCUGCUUCUGCUCCACAGCUUCUACAGGCAGAGCCCUGCUGGCGCUUAGUUGUCACUUUACCAUUUUCACAAUUAAGGUCCUUUCUGAAAUGCUACACAAAUGAAAGGGUAAGCACCACAGUCAGACAUAGGAAAUCUCAAAGUACGCCACUAAAUUCAGCUAAAGAAGGUCGUGGCUUUUUACCAAGUAACCUGUUAUCUCACUUAAAACCCAUGUAUUCUGCAACAGAAAAGUAACUGCUAUAUUUACUGUAAGAAAGCCUUUUGCUUCAUUAAAGGCAGGCUCACUGGGUAAGACAAGUGACACAAUUACAUAAUUUUAAAAACCCAAACAUAUU